AUGGACGUCGUCGCCCCGGACCGCAUGCGGAUUGCGCCGGAGAUCGAGAAACACGAGGCCGCGGAGGGCGACAUGGAGUCAGACCCGGCGCUCGCCGCGGGGCCGCGCGAGCACGAGCUGGAGCCCGUGGGGCGGUGGCAGGACGAUCUGACGGUGCGCGGCAUGGUGGCAGCGCUGCUCAUCGGGUGCAUCUACACCGUCAUCGUCAUGAGGAUGUCGCUCACCACCGGACUAGUGCCCACGCUCAAUGUCUCCGCCGCGCUGCUCUCCUUCCUCGCGCUCCGUGGCUGGACCAGCUUGCUGGACCGCUUCGGCAUCGUGUCACGACCCUUCACCCCACAGGAGAACACCAUCGUCCAGACAUGCGGCGUGGCCUGCUACACCAUCGCUUUCGCCGGUGGGUUCGGGUCAACCUUGCUGGGUCUAAACAGAAAGACGUACGAGCUGGCCGGCGACUCGGUGGCCAACGGGCCGGGGAGCUACAAGGAGCCAGGGAUUGGCUGGAUGACGGCAUUCCUCUUUUCUUGCUGCUUCGGUGGACUCCUCACCUUGAUUCCCCUUAGACAGGUAUUGGUCGUCGACUAUAAAUUAACUUACCCUAGUGGGACGGCAACUGCAGUUCUUAUAAACGGCUUCCAUACCACCCAGGGAGACAAGAAUUCAAAGAAGCAAAUACGUGGGUUUCUGAAAUACUUUGGGGGUAGCUUCAUAUGGAGUUUCUUCCAGUGGUUCUACACCGGCGGCGAUGCUUGUGGAUUUGUUCAGUUCCCUACUUUUGGUCUCAAGGCCUGGAAGCAAACAUUCUUCUUUGACUUCAGCAUGACAUACGUCGGCGCUGGGAUGAUUUGCCCACAUAUAGUAAAUGUUUCCACCCUCCUAGGUGCAAUUCUUUCAUAUGGAAUAUUGUACCCACUCCUCAGUAAAAACAAGGGUGAUUGGUACCCUGCAACUGUAAAAGAAAGCAGCAUGAAAAGUUUGUACGGCUACAAGGCCUUCAUAUGUAUCGCUCUUAUCUUGGGGGAUGGACUCUACCAAUUCAUCAAAAUUAUUAGCAUCACUUUUAAGGGCAUGUGUCGACAAUUUAGUCGUAAGCAUAUCAAUAAUAGAGCGAAAAAUAUGGACAAUACGGUCUCACUCGAGGAUAUGCAGCGCGACGAGGUCUUCAAGAGAGGCCAUCUCCCCGCUUGGAUGGCAUACUCUGGGUAUGCCGUGUUAAGCGUCGUUGCAGCGAUUACCACGCCAAUAAUGUUUCGACAAGUGAAAUGGUACUACAUAGUUAUAGCCUAUGUCGUAGCCCCCGUGCUUGGAUUCGCCAACUCUUACGGCACAGGGCUUACUGAUAUCAACAUGGGGUAUAACUAUGGGAAGAUUGGUCUCUUCGUCUUUGCGGGUUGGGCUGGCAGGGACAGUGGUGUCGUUGCAGGCCUUGUUACUGGUACAUGUGUGAAGCAGUUGGUUCUUAUAUCUGCAGAUCUGAUGCAUGACUUCAAGACGGGUUAUCUAACAAAGACAUCACCGAGAUCCAUGAUGGUGGCACAGGCCAUUGGUACGGUCAUGGGCUGCAUCCUUGCUCCCCUUACGUUCAUGCUCUUCUACAAGGCAUUUGACAUUGGCAACCCGGAUGGUUACUGGAAGGCGCCGUAUGCAUUGAUAUACCGUAAUAUGGCAAUACUUGGCGUGGAGGGGUUCUCGGUGUUGCCGAAGUAUUGUCUAGCACUCUCUGGUGGAUUCUUCGCAUUUGCAGCACUCCUCAGCAUCGCAAGAGAUGUCAUGCCACACAGAUAUAGCAAGUAUGUGCCCAUACCCAUGGCCAUGGCAGUUCCAUUCCUUGUCGGCGGGAGCUUCGCAAUUGAUAUGUGCGUCGGAAGUUUGGUGGUUUUUGUCUGGAACAAGAUAAACAAAAAGGAGGCUGGUUUCAUGGUCCCUGCGGUUGCAUCCGGUUUGAUAUGUGGGGAUGGAAUAUGGACAUUCCCUUCUUCCAUACUUGCCCUUGCCAAGAUUAAACCACCAAUUUGCAUGCAGUUUACACCUGCACCCUAG
rnacentral:rRNA from 1 species